UAGCGGCAGGCUAACACAUGCAGUCUGAACGGUAACAGAGAAGAGCUUGCUCUUUUGCUGACGAGUGGCGCACGGGUGAGUAACGCGUAUACAAUCUACCUUUUACAGGGGGAUAGCCUUUAAAAUGAAGAUUAAUAUCCCAUAGUAAGUUAUCAUUGCAUGAUAGUAACUUUAAAGUUUCGGCGGUAAAAGAUGAGUAUGCGUUCUAUUAGCUAGAUGGUGUGGUAACGGCACACCAUGGCAACGAUAGAUAGGGGCCCUGAGAGGGGGAUCCCCCACACUGGUACUGAGACACGGACCAGACUCCUACGGGAGGCAGCAGUGAGGAAUAUUGGACAAUGGGCGCGAGCCUGAUCCAGCCAUGCCGCGUGCAGGAAGACUGCCCUAUGGGUUGUAAACUGCUUUUAUACAGGAAGAAACCUUUUCACGUGUGAAAAGCUGACGGUACUGUAAGAAUAAGGAUCGGCUAACUCCGUGCCAGCAGCCGCGGUAAUACGGAGGAUCCAAGCGUUAUCCGGAAUCAUUGGGUUUAAAGGGUCCGUAAGGUGGAUAAUUAAGUCAGGGGUGAAAGUUUGCAGCUCAACUGUAAAAUUGCCUUUGAUACUGGUUAUCUUGAAUUAUUGUGAAGUGGUUAGAAUAUGUAGUGUAGCGGUGAAAUGCAUAGAUAUUACAUAGAAUACCAAUUGCGAAGGCAGAUCACUAACAAUAUAUUGACACUGAUGGACGAAAGCGUGGGGAGCGAACAGGAUUAGAUACCCUGGUAGUCCACGCCGUAAACGAUGGAUACUAGCUGUUCGGACUUCGGUCUGAGUGGCUAAGCGAAAGUGAUAAGUAUCCCACCUGGGGAGUACGUUCGCAAGAAUGAAACUCAAAGGAAUUGACGGGGGCCCGCACAAGCGGUGGAGCAUGUGGUUUAAUUCGAUGAUACGCGAGGAACCUUACCAGGGCUUAAAUGUAGAUUGCAUUAGGUGGAGACACUUAUUUCUUCGGACUAUCUACAAGGUGCUGCAUGGUUGUCGUCAGCUCGUGCCGUGAGGUGUCAGGUUAAGUCCUAUAACGAGCGCAACCCCUGUUGUUAGUUGCCAGCGAGUCAUGUCGGGAACUCUAACAAGACUGCCAGUGCAAACUGUGAGGAAGGUGGGGAUGACGUCAAAUCAUCACGGCCCUUACGUCCUGGGCUACACACGUGCUACAAUGGUAGGGACAGAGAGCAGCCACUGGGUGACCAGGAGCGAAUCUAUAAACCCUAUCACAGUUCGGAUCGGAGUCUGCAACUCGACUCCGUGAAGCUGAAUCGCUAGUAAUCGCAUAUCACCAUGAU
rnacentral:rRNA from 1 species